CGUGUAGGUGGUUUUGUAAGUAGGGCGUGAAAGCUCCCGGCUCAACUGGGAGAGGCCGUUCUAAACUGCAGAACUAGAGGAUGGUAGAGGGAGGUGGAAUUCCAGGUGUAGCGGUGGAAUGCGCAGAUAUCUGGAGGAACACCAGUGGCGAAAGCGGCCUCCUGGACCAUUCCUGACACUCAGACGCGAAAGCUAGGGUAGCAAACG
rnacentral:rRNA from 1 species